UCUUUAUUGUGUUUACUGUCUUACAGCCAGCUUCUGACGACCAACCAGAAGAUAAAUGGCUCCUUCACUGAGAAUCCAAAGAUUUGCAUUGAGGAGUAUCAGUCUAAAGAAGAAUACAGUCAGUCGUGUAGUGAUAUAUACCAACCCGAAAUAAAUGGACAAUACAGAUAUAAUAUUAACACUGGGCCAAUUGUAGUUGAGACUCCUCAUGACCAGCCGUACCACCUUCACCCACCAUAUGUUCAGAGCUCGGAAGAAAUUCAAGGUUGUCAUAAAAAUAAUUUGCAACAAAGAUCACCACAUAAUGAACUUCGCAAGUUGUCCAGAUUUUCUGUUGUAAAUGAAAGUGACAGAGGUUCACAAAGAGAAUCAAUAGAGAGUUGUAAUAAUGGCUUUGUGAAUGCUAAAAAUGUUGGCAUGUAUCUUCAGGUAACAGAGGAUACAAAUGCUUUAGAAUUACAAACCUGCUACCAGCAAGAACCUAGACAAACACAGCAGAGUUCCAGUCAAAAACAGAAACUGAGCAAAUCCACAUUGAGUCCCAAAGAUGUAUGGAACAAAAAACCUGGAAGAAAGACAAAGGAUAUAGUGGAACGUAACAAAAUAACCCUGGGCCACAACACAUCCAGAUCCAAUUUUGGCUCCUAUGUGAGGAUUCACAUGUUGAAACAGGAGAGGCCUCAUGAUGUGAAUGAGGUUCCGGACAAUACUGGGUUUGCUCAGUUUGGCUCAGGUUGAAGAAAGGAUCUGUUCCUACUGUACAGUCAGUAAUCCACUCGCUGUAUACCUUUUUUGAAGAGUGUCAUGGUGAGGACAGCCGCAGCCUCCUUCUGGUAUAGAUGUGUCGUUCGUGAACAAUAUGAACUAAUCUUGACUCAGGAGUAGCAAGUCCUCUCAACAAUUAGUUAGUUUUUAUGCAGUACCUUCUCUCGCCACAUGGCAGCAGCUGCAUUAGCUCAAACAGCUCAGUUCUUUUGUCACGUGACAGCUA
rnacentral:lncRNA from 1 species